ACGCUGGCGGCAGGCUUAACACAUGCAAGUCGAACGGUAACAGGGAUUAGCUUGCUAAUUUGCUGACGAGUGGCGGACGGGUGAGUAAUGCUUGGGAAUCUGGCUUAUGGAGGGGGAUAACUACGGGAAACUGUAGCUAAUACCGCGUAAAAUCUUCGGAUUAAAGGGUGGGACUUUCGAGCCACCUGCCAUAAGAUGAGCCCAAGUGGGAUUAGGUAGUUGGUUAGGUAAAGGCUGACCAAGCCGACGAUCUCUGGCUGGUCUGAGAGGAUGACCAGCCACACUGGAACUGAGACACGGUCCAGACUCCUACGGGAGGCAGCAGUGGGGAAUAUUGCACAAUGGGGGGAACCCUGAUGCAGCCAUGCCGCGUGAAUGAAGAAGGCCUUCGGGUUGUAAAGUUCUUUCGGUGACGAGGAAGGUUGAUAGGUUAAUAGCCUAUCAAAUUGAUGUUAAUCACAGAAGAAGCACCGGCUAACUCCGUGCCAGCAGCCGCGGUAAUACGGGGGGUGCGAGCGUUAAUCGGAAUAACUGGGCGUAAAGGGCACGCAGGCGGUGACUUAAGUGAGAUGUGAAAGCCCCGGGCUUAACCUGGGAAUUGCAUUUCAUACUGGGUCGCUAGAGUACUUUAGGGAGGGGUAGAAUUCCACGUGUAGCGGUGAAAUGCGUAGAGAUGUGGAGGAAUACCGAAGGCGAAGGCAGCCCCUUGGGAAUGUACUGACGCUCAUGUGCGAAAGCGUGGGGAGCAAACAGGAUUAGAUACCCUGGUAGUCCACGCUGUAAACGAUGUCGAUUUGGGGAUUGGGCUUUGAGCUUGGUGCCCGUAGCUAACGUGAUAAAUCGACCGCCUGGGGAGUACGGCCGCAAGGUUAAAACUCAAAUGAAUUGACGGGGGCCCGCACAAGCGGUG
rnacentral:rRNA from 1 species